rnacentral:rRNA from 1 species
AUUGAACGCUGGCGGCAUGCCUUACACAUGCAAGUCGAACGGCAGCACGGGAGCAAUCCUGGUGGCGAGUGGCGAACGGGUGAGUAAAGUAUCGGAACGUGCCCAGUCGUGGGGGAUAACGUAGCGAAAGUUACGCUAAUACCGCAUACGAUCUAUGGAUGAAAGCGGGGGAUCGCAAGACCUCGCGCGAUUGGAGCGGCCGAUAUCAGAUUAGGUAGUUGGUGGGGUAAAGGCCCACCAAGCCAACGAUCUGUAGCUGGCCUGAGAGGACGACCAGCCACACUGGACAGGGGACACGGUCCAGACUCCACGGGGAGGCAGCAGGGGGGAAUUUUGGACAAGGGGCGAAAGCCUGAUCCAGCCUUUCCGCGUGAAGGAUGAGGGCCCUCGGGUUGUAAACUGCUUUUGAACAGAAGGAAAAGGUUUCUACUAAUACUAGGAGCUCAUGACGGUACAGUAAGAAUAAGCCCCGGCUAACUACGUGCCAGCCGCCGCCGUAA